GACUGUUUGACUGUUCAGAGGAAACAGAAGAUAUCAAACAUCAAGUAAACAUUCAAAAAAAUAGAGAAAAAAUAGAGGAAAAUCUACUGACAGGGAAUUGGAAGAAAAAAGUGUGUCUGUAAAUUAGAAAGAAAAAAGAAGGAUGUUGCUGUAAUGGAGUUCACAUUUUUUUGUUAAGGAUAACCUGCAACCAAUUUUUAAAACAGACAGCAGUAUUUGAUUUACUGCCCUAACCAGUAGUAGUGUAAGUGAAAAGACGGAAAGAAAUUCAAGAAAUAAUUGGCUAAGGGCCAGCAGUGUAUUUUGAGAUCUGUGCAGCCAGGCUUGACAGCUUCCAUUCUGUUUAAAUUUUUAAACUAAAAAAUCUAGAUUAAGUUAAUUCUUGCUGUUUGCUCCUGCAGUUGAGACACAUGCUAUAUAUACUGCAUAUCUGCUUUGUCGCAGUACACUAUAGACAGAGCACUUGUGAGAGUACUGGUGGAACUGGAAAUCUCAAUUUAAAAAAGGAAAAAAAAGACGAAGGAGGCGUUGCACACAUUGUCAGGCCCUUAAUAUGACUUCAGUACUGUAUGCAGAAAAUGUUGUCAUUUGCAGGGUUGCUAAGCAUAAAUGAGUAUAUUCAGGAUUCAGACCAAUAUGCAGUAAUUACCAUGGUGAUACAAAUAUAGCUGUGCAAAUACUGAGAAUGCCACUCAUUGCUGUUUGGUUUUAGUGUUUUUGUUACUGUUGUUGUUUGUUUGUUUUUUCCUUCCUGGUUCAUUUUUCAAAUCUGUCCUGGAGAUCUCAGAUCACAUUCUAUAGCCAGGGAUCCCAUGGGGACUGAAAAUGGGGAAAAUGUAUUUUCCAGAGAAAACUAGUCCUCUUCACUCUGUGGAAAAUAUGCCUGCUAUUAUAUCACAACAAAUCUUUGUAAUCAAUUUCUGUUGUUUCCCAUAAGACAUGACUAAAAAAGGUUUAUUUCACUUCAUAGAAAUACACUCAAAACAAAUCAGCAUUGUAAACACAUUUGAAUAUUUUUGACCAUGAAUGGUAAAUACAGAAGGGCAGUACCUGAUGGAAAAGUUUCUUAUGUAUGCUGACUAUGUUAGUGAUACAAACCUUGUUGAAUAAUAUUGCUUUACUUGUUGACUCCAAGCAGAAUCCCUGUAAGCUGAGACUGGUAUUGUGAAACCGUACAGACCCACACUUAAGAUUUUACUAUUAAGAAGAGGAGCUUGUGUAUUUAGUCUGAAGAGAAGACAAAUGUUACAGAGGCACUGCAGUAAAGGUGUAAUCAGGUUAAAGGACUUUGCUGUGGCCAACUGAUGGGAACUGAAAUUGCAUUUUCAAAUGGGUCUCUUGGCUUCUUAGGAAUUUAGACAAGAAUAAUUGGCGAAAUGAAGAUGGAUACACCGAUUCAUAGCUGAGCUGACUGGGCAGGAUUUCACCCUCCUAAGGGUCAGUGUUGAACUAACUUAUGAUAUUGCCAAAAAGAAAAGAGAAGCAGGAGAUCUUAGUUAUUGUACCGGCUUUCCUUGAGCAGUUACAAUGUAAUAGUUACAAUCAUGACCUCUUUCAGUUCUCGGGAUUUUAGAGCGUUUUUGAUUCCCAGCUUCCUAAGACUUGUGGGGAUGAGUUCAUCGGAAAAUGAGGACUGCCGCUGCCCAGGCUGGACCAGUAGUUCACAGAAAGAGCUUUAAAAUCUAGCAUUUUGUUGUAGCUAACAUGUCUGUGUUUAAAAAGGGGGGUGAGUGAGAGUGUAAUGAAGAGCAUUUUAUUUCAAAAAAUGUAUUGUGCUUAUUUCAGUAUAGAGAAGUGACCGAGUAAAAUAUUUUGUAAAAAUGAAGUCAUUAGAUUCUAGAGAUAGUAAACAGCAUUUAACCUGAAUUAUUUUGUUUAUCUCCGUAAUCUAAUACAAAGUCUACUGUACUGCAAAAUUCUCCAGCAUGACUGCUAUUUGUUAAAUCCUGUCAGUGUCCUUGCAGAAGGGACAUUUAAGAGGGUCUGAUCUUGUAAACUUCUGCCAGCUUGUGUGCUGCUGCUCAUCUCAGUGGAGGAACUCAUGCAUGAAAAGUCAAUUACACAUAAUUGUCAGCAGAGCUGUGCAUAAACUGCUGUAGUCUUGGAGUUUUGUUGGGGUAGGUGUUGAUGUCACUGGGAUUGUGAAAGAGAUGUUCAGGGGUUUUCUUUAAAAAUUGGGAGAAAAAUAAAUCUCUCUUGCUCAGUUUAAAAGAAAAGAAGUAAGUAUUAUCUUUUGGAGAAUGUUUUUUUAAUGUUAUUUAAGACAGAGCUAUGAAGGGUAAAAUUUGCCAGCUGAAAAUAUGUACCCCUUGAGAAGUCAUAGCUAUUUGUUUGUUGUCAUAGCAGUCUUUAUUUUGUAGACUUGCAAAAGCAGUUAGACUAAUGAUGUAAAUCAGUCAGUUGUUUUCAUUUGUAAAAAGUGGGAGUUUGGAUAGACACUUGUCUUUAACCACUUGUCUUGGACACUUGGAAAAAAUGGUGAAACUAACUUACUUUAAAUCUAUUAGAGUCUGAGAACUUUAAUGCCAAGUCUUUUGCUGGAGGGAAUUCUUACUGCUAAGUUAUGAACACCUGAGAAUGGAUGUUCGUAAGUGAAACAUCAGAUCUAGUUCAGCCACAGCAGCACAUUCAUGUCUGAAAAGAGAUUGAUUUCACUAGAUGGAAAGUGGAAUGGACACUUGCCUUUCCUUAAUAGAGAGAUCUGCACUAUGCAAGUAUUGUGUCUGUAAUGUGAAUUGGGGUUUUUUUUUCAGUGUUCAGAUACAUUUAUGACUUAAAUUAGGUUUAAAUGAGCGUUACCAGGCAGUUUCGUAACUUAAACAUCGGAUUGCGUUGUUUAAACCAACAACUUCAUCCUGUCACUGUGUACAACAUUUUAGUUCCAUCAACUGUUUUCACUAGUAGAUAAGAUAAUGAAUGACUGCUGUAGCGCUGCACUGAACUUAGUGGUUAUCCACCCAUUAGUUAACAAAUAUUGCUCAAUCGCUGCUCAGACAACCCACUACUCCCUGGCAUUAUCUGAUUAUUUUAACUCUUUUCACAUUCAUACAUCAUUUCAGUGAUUAAGUGCCAGUCUCGCACUCCUUACAUAAGUAAAUAUUCCAUUGGAGUUAGCAGGAGCUUUCUUCCCAGUAGGAGCAUGGAAUGAGGCCACAGGUCAGCCUCCUUAGGAUUGUUCAUCCUUGAGAUGAAUGUUUUUCUCCUUCCCUCCUUUUCUGAAGAGAGAGAAGUUAAAUAGCCUUACUGAUGUACAAAUACCUGAAUGCUGUUUUUGCUGAGGUUGGGUUCCCCCACAGCAGUUGCAGUGACUUGAUACCUGCCUGCCAAGGAUCGGGCUGCCUGUAGCAGAUUGUCCAGGUUCUUGUGAAAUAUCUGAGCUGCAUGUGGCAUAAGCUGUUUGGAAGGGAGUCCAGAACUGUGGAAUUCAGGAUAGCCUGUGCUUUGCUGGGUCAUUGUCUUGCAUGAAAAAUAGUGGAAACAAGUGGCAGUAAAUUGAGUAGUUUCUCUACGUUUAUACUAUACUAUACUAUACUAGUAGUUUCUAUACAUAUUUAUAAAAAUAAGUAGCUUCAGAGUGUGGCUUCUUGUCUCUCUUUUCUGCAACAGCUUUUACCCUCUUCUUCCCAGUCAAUUGUAAAACACUGACAGUUUUUGAAAAAAUGAAGGUUGUAAUAAAAGAUUAAUA